UUGGGGAGAUGCAAUAAAGUAAAUUAAUACCUCAGAGCUGCCAAAGUAAGAAAGGACCAUCUCUUUCCUGUGUCUAUACACUCUUGUCAUGGAUCUCGUGCCAGCUCUGGCAGCUGUUCAACCCUGAAAUACUGAGUAAGCCAGCAGGAAAUUGAGUUAGUUUUCCUAGGUUUUGCUGAGUUGAACAGACUUAUGAAGGAAUUUGACAUUUGCCUGAAUGGGUCAAUUGAAUGGCCAAGGCUGAAGUGAAGGGAGUAUGGGAAGGAGAGGACUGGAGAUGACAUCAUAUGUUGGGAGGGAAGAAAUAUAAGAAAGCAGUCAGUACACCAUUGAACAAUGGUAUGAGCUGACUUAAGUAAUCUUUGCAAUGUUCCUAGUUUUCUUCCUAAGAGUGGUAAAGUGUAGUUUAGGCAGAAGUGAACUAAUUUAACUUUUUAAAUGAGCCAUGUUUCAUAAGUAAACAACAAGUAAACAACAAGUUUCAUAAGUAAACAAUCUGGAGCUCUUUCCUAUUUUUAUCUUAUCUGACUAACUGAAAGGAGUCUUACAAUUUUUAAUUCAUUUAUAUCCAAUUACUCUUCUGUGAAUGUUUAAAAUUGUUGCCUGCUCUCCUACAGUGCUGUCCAUCAAUAAGGCCAGUGUUGCAUCUUCUGCAUUCCUCAGUAAUAGCAAGUAUUACUGAUAACUUCUGAGAGGAGAUAAUCAUGAAGAAAUCAUGAAGAAAUUAUCUUCAUGAUUAUUCAUAUGCAUGAAUUGAUUCUACUGAAUACAUGAACUAGUUCAGUGCACUACAAACAAAGACCAAUAUGUUCACUUUGAGUCUAAUGGAAAGCACCAGAAGGAAAUUUCUCAUGACGUAUCAGUAUUUCAGCAGUUGAUGGCAAUCAGAGUCAGCAAUUCUACUAAAAAAUUACUAUAGACAUUCAGGCAAGGUGUCAGAAGAGAGAAGGAUCCAAGGACACUUCCUUUCCAGCAUGAGAAGCCCAGUGCAGAGCUGCCUCCAUCUAUCCUGGAUAUUGUGCCAACACAGGACAAUAGUCAGUGGGACUAAAAAUAUGUCAAAAAACGUGUUCCCUUGAGGCGCUGUCUUUCAGAUGCUUUACUCAAAUUGUGUCAAAUUACCCUUGACUGUUGAAGUGGCUAAUCGUGAAAAAUAGGACUGGUCAUUUCCUACCUACUGAGUAAGUAUACAAUCUUCUCUAUUUCUACCAUAUCUUAGAGGAAAUAUAGUUCUAUACCAGAAAAUUAGUUUUACUGUAUCUUUCCCCUCUGCAAACAGUUGUAGGGCCAUGAUUUGAAGUCAACAAUGCCGAUAAAGACUUAGCUUUUACAAAAACAAUUCAGCAUUGAACUAAGAGAAACUCAAAUAUUUUGCUCAGACUAAUUUUAUAUACCCUGCAAAAAACAACUGAAGAGGUUUCAACGUUCUCAUAACAUAUUAUAUAAGGCGGGAAAUCUACUUUGUUAGCCUAAUCAACGUUCUGGUUAAAAACCAAAAAGCAUGCAUUGGAACUACUUGUCACAAUUCUGCCUUCA
rnacentral:lncRNA from 1 species